rnacentral:tRNA from 1 species
GCCCCCGAAGUUCAAGAGGGAGAACGCCCGCGUGGUAUGCGGGAGGUUACCGGUUCGAUCCCGGUCGGGGGCUCCC